GAUCGCGGUGGUUAAGACACGAUCGAUGGACGGGCGAAUUUAGUUUGGUCCCCGCCGUACUCUUGUGGAUUGGAUCGGCGUGUGUGACAGUGUGAGAGAAGCCUGUUUUCCUAUUUCUUUCGCCUAAGGAUUUGCUUAGUGCAUCUUGUCCCUUUGUUGCAUCAAGAUAUCAUUCCUCCGUGUCGAUAUGCGACGGCAAUGAGACAAUACUACAGCGGUGUUCUUGUACGGCUUGUACGUAUUAGUUGUUCGGUUACCAACUUGUUCUACCUACGGCGUAAAACCGGGAUAAAAUGUGUUCAACUGUUUCGGAUGAGACGAAAACAUGAACCACGCCAUAUGACAGCAUGGCGAGCACGUGGCGAUGCGUUUCCACUCGACCCCUCUCGAGCUUCUGCAUGCGUUCGCAAUUGUUGAAUGUGAAUAGUAUACGCAAUUCGUCUUCAUGUAUAUAGUCGUGCUUCCUCCUCUUCUAGCAUAAAAAAUAAAAAGACAUCAACGAGAAGAAAAAAAAGUAGUGAUACAAACAGAAACUUUAACGAAAGUAUAGUCUCGGUUAAAGAAAAAGCGAAAAUAUUUUUGACUGGAGUAGAAGCGGCCGGGAACAGAAUUUCAGCAUUUAUCGUGUUUUGUUUGUCUAUGUCCGUAUCUUGCUGAUCCCUGAUAGCGUUGGUUGCAGAGCAAAGUGAAAUGUACCCGGAAAAAAGUGAGCGAAAUGUUCUAUUUCUAUAGAAAUAGAAUAAAAUGGUUAUAGUUUUUUUAUAU
rnacentral:lncRNA from 1 species